CCGCAGCCUCGCCCUCCUCCUUCACUCCCGUGCGUCGUCACUGCCGCAACUCCCUCCUCUUCCACUCCCUCAAGGCCUCAACCUACUCCAGCUAUCUCGCCGUACCGCCGUCGCCGCUUCCUCUCGCACGCGCGCCGCCAUGCCCUCUUCUCUUCAUUCCUCGCGCGCGCCGUCGCUGUCGUAGCUUCGUCGUCCUUCGCCUCCCUCGUGCCCUCAUCCAGCCAUUGUUACUGUGCCCGCGCUCCCGCGCCGGCAAGCGAGUCCGUCAUGUCCACCAGUGAGGAGGCGGGGCUUCCAGAUCCGGCAACAGCGGCCUCCUCGCUGGUGGAUUGUCGGUUGCCCGGACGAGAGGGAUGCGAGCCACUGCACUCCUCUUCUCCUCUUUCAUCUCAUCUCCACGUGGAUCCGGUCGUGGCCCUCUUCGGCAGUACAACGCUACUCUCCACUGUCUUCCUCACCCGUUCUCCAUGCCGCUCACCUCCCCUCGGUGCCAGGAUGGGGAGAGCAAGAGCAGCAGCUUGGGCACCAAAGCCACGACGGCGGAAGGCAUGGGCUAUGGCAAAGUACGGCGACGACGGCAGCAAGGCACAAACUAUGGCAAGGAAGGAAAGAAAAAAGGGAGUGAAGGCUAGAUUAUUCAGUACUAAUGUUUAAACAUCACCACCCAGGUGUGCAAAUGGGAAAUGAGCAGCGCUGUCAGAAAGAAAUAGAAGACACUAAACAUGGACUUGAAUCUGGAAGUAUUACAUAUGACCCGGCAAAGCUUAAAUUUUCUGAUGACAUCAAAGAUUCUCGGUGAACCUGACAAUCUUGACAUAUUAUUGCAUCCAGUGUUCCAAUUUGGCAAGUCCAAAAGUACCAUUUGUUUAUAUCUCCAUUUUUACUAGCUCACUUUCCUGAUAUAUGUAUGAUAGAUCAUUAGGUGGGCAGUUCUUCCUGCCUUCUUCACAUUGUAGUUCUCAGUGUAUUUUCUCUAUAUUCUUGAUCUAUACAUGGACUUGGAAUAAGGUGUUCACCCUGAAUAAGGAGGGAGGUCAGUACAUUUUUCCUACCUUAAAAAUCUGAAGUAUGGUUGAAUAUUGUAUUAGAUGAUAUUCAGAUAAUAUUGUUAGUUUAUAACAGGCCAGUUGGUUUAUACCUAAGCCACUUGGUCAAUGCAAAGCUAUAUAUUCUAUAAUUCCUUUAUUUCUUACCAA